rnacentral:rRNA from 1 species
UACGAAGGGGGCUAGCGUUGUUCGGAAUUACUGGGCGUAAAGCGCACGUAGGCGGACCUGUUAGUCAGAGGUGAAAUCCCGAAGCUUAACUUCGGAACUGCCUUUGAUACUGCAGGUCUUGAGGAUGAGAGAGGUGAGUGGAACUGCGAGUGUAGAGGUGAAAUUCGUAGAUAUUCGCAAGAACACCAGUGGCGAAGGCGGCUCACUGGCUCAUUUCUGACGCUGAGGUGCGAAAGCGUGGGGAGCAAACAGG